AUUCAGCUGACGAGUGUGAAAAUAGGAUGAAACGCGAGUCCUGAAU
rfam:Schistosoma rodhaini strain Burundi genome assembly, scaffold: SROB_scaffold0001362